ensembl:lncRNA
GAAAAAUAUAAAUAUAUUUUAGAAAGACUUCAAAUAAGUGCUGUGUUUCGAGUAGGCGUAACAUUUUGUUACCUGUAUAAAUCUCUCUCUCGGAAAAGGUCACUUAAACAAUACAUUUGCCUGUAUUUACACACCUCCCCCCAAAAUGACAUGCAAAUUAGCUGCUAAUGUGGCUAUCAUACAGAACUACAAAUGCCUGUAGCAAGCGUCACGUCACUCACCAGAGACAAAGCUGCAUUAAGUACUGCAGUGCAUCUCCUCCUCAUGGACUGCACCAGAUUUGCCAGGUCUUGCUGUGAGAUGUUACCCUUCCACCAAGGCACCUGUAAGUUCCCGGACAUUUCUGGGGGGAAUGGCCCUAGCCCUCACCCCCCGAUCAUACAGGUCCCAAACGUGCUCAAUGGGACUGAGAUCCGGGCUCUUCGCUGGCUAUGGCAGAACAGUGACAUUUCUAGGAAUUCAUGCACAGAACGAGCAGUAUGGCUGGAGGCAUUGUCAUGCUGGAGGGUCAUGUCAGGAUGAGCCUGCAGGAAGGGUACCACAAGAGGGAGGAGGAUGUCUUCCCUGUAACGCACAGCAUUGAGAUUGCCUGCAAUGUCAACAAGUUCAGUCCGAUGAUGCUGUGACACACCGCCCCAGACCAUGAUGGACCCUCCACCCCAUAAUGUAUCCUACUCCAAAGGACAGGCAUCGAUGUAAAGCUUAGUCCUUCAACAAUAAAUGCGAAUCCGACCAUCACCCCUGGUGUGACAAAACCGUGACUUUUCAGUGUAGAGCACUUUUUGCAAGUCAUGUCUGGUCCUGCAACGGUGGAUUUGUGCCCAUUGGCGACGUUGUUGCCGGUGAUGUCUGGUGAGAACCUGCCUUACAACAGGCUUACAAGCCCUCAGUCCAGCCUCUCUUAGCCUAUUAUGGACAGGAUGGAGGGAUUCUGCAUUCCUGGUGUAACUCGGGCAGUUGUUGCCAUCCUGUGCCUGUCCCGCAGGUGUGAUGUUCUGAUGUACUGAUCCUGUGCUUGUCUUGUUACAAGUGGUCUGCCACUGCGAGGACGAUCUGUCCUGUCUCCCUGUAGCGCUGUCUUAGGCUUCUCACAGUACGGACAUUGCAAUGUAUUGCCCUGGCCACAUCUGCAGUCCUCAUGCCUCCUUGCAGCAUGCCUAAGGCACGUUCACACUGAUGAGCAGGGUCCCUGGGCAUCCUUCUUCUGGUGUUUUUCAGUCAGUAGAAAUGCCUCUUUAGUGUCCUAAGUUUUCAUAACUGUGACCUUAAUCUGUAAACUGUUAGUGUCUUUAAUGACCAUUCCACAGGUGCAUGUUCAUUCAUUGUUUAUUGUUCAUUGAACAAGCAUUGGAAACAGUAUUUAACCCUUUACAAUGAAG